rnacentral:rRNA from 1 species
UUAGAGUGUUUAAAGCAGCCUCUUGGGGCACUGAAUACAUUAGCAUGGGAUAAUAAAAUAGGAUCUUCACAAUAUAUUUUAUUGGUUUAAAUUGCGUAUGAAGAUAAUGAUUAAUAGGGACAGUUGGGGUAUUCAUAUUGGGUGGUUAGCGGUGAAAUGCUCGGAUCCAUUCAAGAUGAACUAAAGACGAAAGCAUUUACCAAGGAUGUUUUCAUUAAUCAAGAACGAAAGUUAAGGGAUCGAAGACGAUUAGAUACCGUCGUAGUCUUAACUAUAAACUAUGCCGACCAGGGAUAUGAGUUGUUAGGAUUAUAUGAAAGUAUAAUCAAUUUCUUCUUAUGGACCUUGUGAGAAAUCAUAAGUUUUUGGGUUCUGGGGGGGAGUAUGGUCGCAAGGCUGAAACUUAAAGGAAUUGACGGAGGGGC